CAUUGCUUCCUUGGCGCUAGCUAGCCGUGCACUCGCAUUACCAGUGCAAGCGAGGUCUUCGAAUACGUAUCUUUGUUUCGGAUCGCAGUGUCACAAGUUAAGCUGGUUUGAGAGCGUUUAGUCGCCUACCUUAGACGCACCAAUAGAGAUCAGACAGCUAUUCUGUUAGAAUUCUGUAGGGUAGACCGGGGACAAUAGAAACACGUCAUGAUUGAAACAAGUCAAAUUUCUCGAAAACUAUAAUACCUACGCGUCUGACGUAACACUCGGAACACGCGGUCGGCCAUGUUUGAAUCCUUGGCCAGUAGCGCUCGAGCGCCGGUGCGAGACGGGAGUGUCCACGAGCCAAACCAGUUUUUCGCGGUAAAAAAUGCCCCGAAAACGGAAGCAUGUUACGGAGAGAACCUCAAAAAGCAUGUUUGCCAUUUUAGCAACAACCGACUGCUGCCAACCGGCUGAUUAAACAGGUCGGCCACUGCUAAAAUUUAUAUCAGAGAGAGUUAAGGAUUUUUUUUUGAUAGGCAUAUCGCCAUGUUUUUGUUUACGUAAUAAAACAAUUUAUACUGAUUA